AUACAAUGCUAGGUCCCCCUGCCCUGGCCACAGCCACACUCAGGGUCCAGCCCGAGGCCCAAGCCAAGGCAGAUGUGUUUCAUGAAGACCUCUGUACCAAGAGAGAGAACCUGCUCAGGAGCUAUUUCCCCAAGAAGAUUUCUGAGCUGGAUGCAUUUUUAAAGGAGCCAGCUGUCAAUGAAGGCAACCUGAGCAAUCUGAAGGCCCCAUUGGACAUCCCAGUGCCUGAUCCAGUCAAGAAGAAAGAGAAAGAGGAGCGGAAGAAACAACAGAAAAAGGAAGACAAGGAUGACAAGAAGAAAGGAGAAGCUGAAGACAAAGGUCCUCCUUGAGGUCCAAUGAACUGCAAUGAAAAGAUCAUGGUCCUUCUGCAGUGCUUGAAGCCUGAGAUCAAGAAUGUCACUGAGCAGCUCAACCUGGUCACCACCUGGUUGUAACUGCAGAUACCUCGGAUUGAGGAUGGGAACAAUUUUGGAGUGGCUGUCCAGGAGAAGGUAUUUGAGCUGAUGACCAGCUUCCACACUCAAAUCUCCGUUUCUCUGAGCGUGGCGAUGCAGUAACUACAGCAGCCAAGCAGCCCCAUGUGGGUGAUUAUUGGCAUCUCGUGCAUGAGCUGGAUGAAGCAGAGUACCAGGACAUCCAGCUGAUGGUCAUGGAGAUCCACAGUGCUUAUGCUGUGCUAUAUGACAUCAUCCUGAAAAACUUAGACAAGCUCAAGAAGCCCAGGGGAGAAACAAAGUAAUGAUCUAUUGAGAGCCCUCUUUCCCAUUCUGUGAUGGGCACAGCAGAGACCUUCCUGCUUUUUUACUGGGGGCUCCAGACUUUCCCCAAA